rnacentral:rRNA from 2 species
UGUUUCGGCUAGGGGGCCAUCCCGGCUUACCAACCCGAUGCAAACUGCGAAUACCGGAGAAUGUUAUCACGGGAGACACACGGCGGGUGCUAACGUCCGUCGUGAAGAGGGAAACAACCCAGACCGCCAGCUAAGGUCCCAAAGUCAUGGUUAAGUGGGAAACGAUGUGGGAAGGCCCAGACAGCCAGGAUGUUGGCUUAGAAGCAGCCAUCAUUUAAAGAAAGCGUAAUAGCUCACUGGUCGAGUCGGCCUGCGCGGAAGAUGUAACGGGGCUAAACCAUGCACCGAAGCUGCGGCAGCGACACUCAGGUGUUGUUGGGUAGGGGAGCGUUCUGUAAGCCUGCGAAGGUGGCCUGUGAGGGUUGCUGGAGGUAUCAGAAGUGCGAAUGCUGACAUAAGUAACGAUAAAGCGGGUGAAAAGCCCGCUCGCCGGAAGACCAAGGGUUCCUGUCCAACGUUAAUCGGGGCAGGGUGAGUCGACCCCUAAGGCGAGGCCGAAAGGCGUAGUCGAUGGGAAACGGGUUAAUAUUCCCGUACUUGGUGUUACUGCGAAGGGGGGACGGAGAAGGCUAUGUUGGCCGGGCGACGGUUGUCCCGGUUUAAGCGUGUAGGUGUGUGUUCCAGGUAAAUCCGGUUCACUUUAACACUGAGGCGUGAUGACGAGGCACUACGGUGCUGAAGCAACAAAUGCCCUGCUUCCAGGAAAAGCCUCUAAGCAUCAGGUAACAUCAAAUCGUACCCCAAACCGACACAGGUGGUCAGGUAGAGAAUACCAAGGCGCUUGAGAGAACUCGGGUGAAGGAACUAGGCAAAAUGGUGCCGUAACUUCGGGAGAAGGCACGCUGACACGUAGGUGAAGUGAUUUACUCAUGGAGCUGAAGUCAGUCGAAGAUACCAGCUGGCUGCAACUGUUUAUUAAAAACACAGCACUGUGCAAACACGAAAGUGGACGUAUACGGUGUGACGCCUGCCCGGUGCCGGAAGGUUAAUUGAUGGGGUCAGCGCAAGCGAAGCUCCUGAUCGAAGCCCCGGUAAACGGCGGCCGUAACUAUAACGGUCCUAAGGUAGCGAAAUUCCUUGUCGGGUAAGUUCCGACCUGCACGAAUGGCGUAAUGAUGGCCAGGCUGUCUCCACCCGAGACUCAGUGAAAUUGAACUCGCUGUGAAGAUGCAGUGUACCCGCGGCAAGACGGAAAGACCCCGUGAACCUUUACUAUAGCUUGACACUGAACAUUGAGCCUUGAUGUGUAGGAUAGGUGGGAGGCUUUGAAGUGUGGACGCCAGUCUGCAUGGAGCCGGCCUUGAAAUACCACCCUUUAAUGUUUGAUGUUCUAACGUGGACCCGUGAUCCGGGUUGCGGACAGUGUCUGGUGGGUAGUUUGACUGGGGCGGUCUCCUCCUAAAGAGUAACGGAGGAGCACGAAGGUUGGCUAAUCCUGGUCGGACAUCAGGAGGUUAGUGCAAUGGCAUAAGCCAGCUUGACUGCGAGCGUGACGGCGCGAGCAGGUGCGAAAGCAGGUCAUAGUGAUCCGGUGGUUCUGAAUGGAAGGGCCAUCGCUCAACGGAUAAAAGGUACUCCGGGGAUAACAGGCUGAUACCGCCCAAGAGUUCAUAUCGACGGCGGUGUUUGGCACCUCGAUGUCGGCUCAUCACAUCCUGGGGCUGAAGUAGGUCCCAAGGGUAUGGCUGUUCGCCAUUUAAAGUGGUACGCGAGCUGGGUUUAGAACGUCGUGAGACAGUUCGGUCCCUAUCUGCCGUGGGCGCUGGAGAACUGAGGGGGGCUGCUCCUAGUACGAGAGGACCGGAGUGGACGCAUCACUGGUGUUCGGGUUGUCAUGCCAAUGGCACUGCCCGGUAGCUAAAUGCGGAAGAGAUAAGUGCUGAAAGCAUCUAAGCACGAAACUUGCCCCGAGAUGAGUUCUCCCUGAGACUUUAGGUCUCCUGAAGGAACGUUGAAGACGACGACGUUGAUAGGCCGGGUGUGUAAGCGCAGCGAUGCGUUGAGCUAACCGGUACUAAUGAACCGUGAGGCUUAACCUUACA